UACGGAGGGGGCUAGCGUUGUUCGGAAUUACUGGGCGUAAAGCGCGCGUAGGCGGCUUUGUAAGUUAGAGGUGAAAGCCCGGAGCUCAACUCCGGAAUUGCCUUUAAGACUGCAUAGCUAGAAUCAUGGAGAGGUGAGUGGAAUUCCGAGUGUAGAGGUGAAAUUCGUAGAUAUUCGGAAGAACACCAGUGGCGAAGGCGACUCACUGGACAUGUAUUGACGCUGAGGUGCGAAAGCGUGGGGAGCAACAGG
rnacentral:rRNA from 1 species